UACGAAGGGAGCUAGCGUUGUUCGGAAUCACUGGGCGUAAAGCGCACGUAGGCGGACGUGUCAGUCAGGGGUGAAAUCCCGGAGCUCAACUUCGGAACUGCCUUUGAUACAGCACGUCUUGAGUCCGGAAGAGGUGGGUGGAAUUCCUAGUGUAGAGGUGAAAUUCGUAGAUAUUAGGAAGAACACCGGUGGCGAAGGCGGCCCACUGGUCCGGUACUGACGUUGAGGUGCGAAAGCGUGGGGAGCAAACAGG
rnacentral:rRNA from 1 species